rnacentral:rRNA from 1 species
AACGAACGCUGGCGGCAUGCCUAACACAUGCAAGUCGAACGAGACCUUCGGGUCUAGUGGCGCACGGGUGCGUAACGCGUGGGAACCUGCCCUCAGGUUCGGAAUAACUCCCCGAAAGGGGUGCUAAUACCGGUUAAUGUCUUCGGACCAAAGAUUUAUCGCCUUUGGCUGGGCCCGCGUUGGCUUAGCCCGCUGGUAGGGUAAAAGCCUACCAAGGCGACGACCCAUAGCUGGUCUGAGAGGAUGAUCAGCCACACUGGGACUGAGACACGGCCCAGACUCCUACGGGAGGCAGCAGUGGGUAAUAUUGGGCAAUGGGCGAAAGCCUGAUCCAGCAAUGCCGCGUGAGUGAUGAAGGCCUUAGGGUUGUAAAGCUCUUUUACCCGGGAUGAUAAUGACAGUACCGGGAGAAUAAGCUCCGGCUAACUCCGUG